UGAAUGACUCUCGGCAACGGAUAUCUYGGCUCUUGCAUCGAUGAAGAACGUAGCGAAAUGCGAUACUUGGUGUGAAUUGCANAAUCCCGUGAACCAUCGAGUCUUUGAACGCAAGUUGCGCCCGAGGCCACUAGGUUGAGGGCACGUCUGCCUGGGCGUCACAC
rnacentral:rRNA from 1 species